UCUUGGUCAUAAAUUAAUAAAUUAUUUACCGGAGUACUAUGAAUACUAAAAAUUUAAAACUCAAAGGGCUUGGCGGUGUUUUAGACUACUCAGGGGAACCUGUCUCAUAAUCGAUAAUCCACGUUAAACCUGACCUCUUUUUGUAAUCAGCUUGUAUACCGUUGUCGUCAGGUAACUUUUUAGAAACUAAAAGUUAGCUAUUAGUUUUAAGCUAAAAUGUCAAAUCAAGGUGCAGUUAAUAAAGAGGGGAGGAUGGGUUACAAUUAUAAAAUUAUAAUAACGGAAAGCUAUCAGAACUGAAGCUAUGAAGGAGGACUUGAAAGUAAAAUAAAUUAUAUAAAUAUCUUGAAUAUAGCUCUGAAAUGUGC
rnacentral:rRNA from 1 species